AGCGAACGCUGGCGGCAGGCUUAACACAUGCAAGUCGAACGCCCCGCAAGGGGAGUGGCAGACGGGUGAGUAACACGUGGGAACGUACCCUUUGGUUCGGAAUAACUUGGGGAAACUCAAGCUAAUACCGGAUAAGCCCUUAUGGGGAAAGGUUUACUGCCGAAGGAUCGGCCCGCGUCUGAUUAGCUAGUUGGUGAGGUAAUGGCUCACCAAGGCGACGAUCAGUAGCUGGUCUGAGAGGAUGAUCAGCCACACUGGGACUGAGACACGGCCCAGACGCCUACGGGAGGCAGCAGUGGAGAAUGUUGGAAAAUGGGGGCAACCCUGAUCCAGCCAUGCCGCGUGAGUGAUGAAGGCCUUAGGGUUGUAAAGCUCUUUUACCCGGGACGAUAAUGACUGUACCGGGAGAAUAAGCCCCGGCUAACUUCGUGCCAGCCGCCGCAGUAA
rnacentral:rRNA from 1 species